rnacentral:rRNA from 1 species
GACGAACGCUGGCGGCGUGCUUAACACAUGCAAGUCGAACGGAAAGGCCCUGCUUUUGUGGGGUGCUCGAGUGGCGAACGGGUGAGUAACACGUGAGUAACCUGCCCUUGACUUUGGGAUAACUUCAGGAAACUGGGGCUACUACCGGAUAGGAGCUCCUGAUGCAUGGUGGGGGUUGGAAAGUUUCGGCGGUUGGGGAUGGACUCGCGGCUUAUCAGCUUGUUGGUGGGGUAGUGGCUUACCAAGGCUUUGACGGGUAGCCGGCCUGAGAGGGUGACCGGCCACAUUGGUACUGAGAUACGGCCCAGACUCCUACGGGAGGCAGCAGUGGGGAGUAUUGCACAAUGGGCGGAAGCCUGAUGCAGCAACGCCGCGUGCGGGAUGACGGCCUUCGGGUUGGAAACCGCUUUCGCCUGUGACGAAGCGUGAGUGACGGUAAUGGGUAAAGAAGCACCGGCUAACUACGUG